rnacentral:tRNA from 1 species
GUGGGUAUAGCACAGUUGGUUAGCGCGUCAGAUUGUGGCUCUGAAGGUCAAGGGUUCGAAUCCCUUUAUCCACC